AACAAGUGCUGGUAAAAACCUGCAAGAAAAUUUUCUGAAAGCUCUGGCAGUGAGAGAAGAAGACAAUCGCAGUGGGAAAGUGAGCUCUGUGAUAUUCAUUCGUGACAAGAAUUCUCAUGGGCAAGAGAUAUCAGGAUAUAUUGACUAUGCCCACAGGCUGAAGACUGAAGAUUUUGAAGUCUACUUUAAUGGGAAAAAAAGACUUCUUCCAAGAUCCACAGAUUUGAGCUUUUACAACUGGGACAGUCAAAUUGCUGUUUGGAAUUCAACUCCCAAUUAUCAAGUGAUUGCUGAUAAUCCAGAAGGCUUGCUUUUCAAAUACAAAAGAGACAGAAAAAUUCUCAACGUGGACCCAAAAGCUUCACCAGGUGACAACUCUACUAGAAUCCCUAUCCCGACAGAGCUCUACAUACAAGCUGUCAUUUUUGACCACAUUUCCAGAAGAAAGACUUAACUGCCACAUGUUAGAUGGUUCCCUAACUGUUCACUGAAUUUAAAUGAAACCUGUAACCAGAAACAAAUUAAACUAAUGAAUGAGUCUUAUAGCUGGAAGGCAAUUUAGAAUAUUAAAAGUUAAUAAAGAAAUUAGA